rnacentral:sRNA from 1 species
UGGUGUGGUUGCUGCACGAUUUACGGGCUAUUAAUGCUCAAAUGCAACUCAUGGGAUCUAUUCAGAGAGGGUUGCCUUUGCUUUCUACUAUCCCUAAAAAUUGGCCAGUGAUAUGUAUAGAUAUUAAGGAUUGUUUCUUUUCCAUCCCAUUGCAUCCUCUAGAUUCAGAAUGUUUUGCUUUCAC